GGCGCUUCAUACCCACCUAGAGGAGCCUGUUCUGGAACCGAUGCCCCCCGUUUUACCUCACCUCCCCUUGUUCCCCCUGCCUAUAUACCGCCGUCGUCAGCUUACCCUGUGAAGGAAUAGUAGUAAGCGAAACUGGUAAUGCCCAAAACGUCAGGCCGAGGUGUAGCGUAUGGGGUGUGGAAGAAAUGGGCUACAAUUGCUUGAAUAGCUAAUACGAAAUGUGCCACUGAAAAUGUAGAUAUGAAGGAGGAUUUAGGAGUAAGGGAGAAGCAGCGUGUCCCCCUGAACUGGCCCUGAAGCGUGCACACACCGCCCGUCGCUCUCCCCUAGUAGAACAGGACUAUUUUAACUAAGAAAGACUACCUCUCAGAGGGGAGAUAAGUCGUAACAUGGUAAGUGUACCGGAAGGUGUACUUGGAAGAAG
rnacentral:rRNA from 1 species